UUCCCUUUCUUUUAUUGUUGUUGUCGUUUACUUUCAUUACUUGUUGAAUUGGAAGAUGUGAAUAUUAGAAUCUUGGGUAGGGUUUAUUUGGUUGUAAUCAAUGGGGGUAUAUCUUUGUUGCGGUGUUCUGUAUUGAGUAGCUGAGGCGAGAGCUAUAAAAUUUGGGUAAAAUUGAAGACUGUUGUUGGCCAUCAAAUAUACAUUAGGAGCCAAGUAAAGAGCCAAGAUGUUUGUUCUGUUGACUGGUGGACUUGAGGCUACUUGCAGAGCAAACUCAAUGUUGACUGGUGGACUUGAGGCUACUUGCAGAGCAAACUCAAAGGCCAAGUUAAUCCAUGAUGAAAUCAUCACAUAUAGCUAUAAUAUGCAUAGUAUUGCUCUCCUUCUCCAUGUAUGAGUGUAGCAAGAUUGGGACGUCGAGGAAAAUCUAUGUACCAUUGUGUUUCCACAGCAGUUGCGGCAACUCAUUGAAAAGAGAUUGUUGGUGCUGUCUGGCAGCUGCAACCAACAUAGAUGAUUGUUGGGCAGAAAAAGAUUACCCCAAGGGCGUCGCCAAAGAGAUUUGCCUCAAGACAUGUAUAAGACACAAAAUUUAAAGGGGAUACAUGUAAGGGGAAUUUUUAUUUGAUUCGGUGGUUUUUAAGGUGUUUUUGAGAUUGAUAUUUAUGGUAUGAUUCUAGUCUUAUAA